rnacentral:rRNA from 1 species
AACGAACGCUGGCGGCAUGCCUAACACAUGCAAGUCGAACGAGACCUUCGGGUCUAGUGGCGCACGGGUGCGUAACGCGUGGGAACCUGCCCUUAGGUUCGGAAUAACUCCCCGAAAGGGGUGCUAAUACCGGAUAAUGUCUUCGGACCAAAGAUUUAUCGCCUUUGGAUGGGCCCGCGUUGGAUUAGCUAGUUGGUAGGGUAAAAGCCUACCAAGGCGACGAUCCAUAGCUGGUCUGAGAGGAUGAUCAGCCACACUGGGACUGAGACACGGCCCAGACUCCUACGGGAGGGAGCAGUGGGGAAUAUUGGACAAUGGGCGAAAGCCUGAUCCAGCAAUGCCGCGUGAGUGAUGAAGGCUUUAGGGUUGUAAAGCUCUUUUACCCGGGAUGAUAAUGACAGUACCGGGAGAAUAAGCUCCGGCUAACUCCGUG